rnacentral:rRNA from 1 species
AACGAACGCUGGCGGCGUGCUUAACACAUGCAAGUCGAGCGAGAAAGGGGGGGGCAACUCCCCUGAGUAAAGCGGCGCACGGGUGAGUAACGCGUGGGUAACCUACCCCUCGGCGGGGGAUAACUACUCGAAAGGGUGGCUAAUACCGCAUGAGACCACGGGGUCUUCGGACCCAGAGGCCAAAGGUCGCACCGGCUUGCCGGUGCGGUCACCGGGGGAUGGGCCCGCGUCCGAUUAGCUAGUUGGCGAGGUAACGGCUCACCAAGGCUACGGUCGGUAGCUGGUCUGAGAGGAUGAUCCGCCACACUGGAACUGGAACACGGUCCAGACUCCUACGGGAGGCAGCAGUGAGGAAUAUUGCGCAAUGGGGGAAACCCUGACGCAGCAACGCCGCGUGGGUGAAGAAGGCCUUCGGGUCGUAAAGCCCUUUCGGACGGGACGAACGCUCCGCGGUGACAAGCCGCGGAGUCUGACGGUACCGUAGGAAGAAGCACCGGCUAACUCCGUGCCAGCCGCCGCAGUAAGAC